CCAAUCACCACGAAUCAAGAAUCAGCUGGUGGAGCAGCAUCAAAGCUCAGUGCUUUUUAAACCGUAAUCGUAACUUAACUCCAAAUGAGCAACAAGUAGAUGGAUGGCAGAAAAUUAAACUCACACUCAAUAUAGCUAAAUUGCCUGUCUAUCGCAAAUGGAUUGCUCCUGCGGCCUGAACUCGAUCAUAUGUACCUUGUUUGGUGUCUGAAUAAAUUGCUAUUUAUGCCAAAAGAGGCACAACAAAAUCGUUCAAAUAGUCAGCAGUUGGUCAGCUAGCAAAUACCCCAAAAUGACAAACAAAGCAAUACCCGAAAUUCCA